UGAGGAGCAAGCCAGUAAGCAACACUCCUUCAUGGCCUCUACAUCAGUUUCUGCCUCCAGUUGUUGCCCUGACUUCAUGGAUGAUGGACUGACUCCAAGCUAUAAGAAGAAAUAACCCCUUUCCUUUCUAAUCAUGUUGUAUACAUUAGCACCAGUGCUAUCCAAUGCCUAGUUAUACAUCCAACAGGGCUUCCAUAUACUACUAGCAUAUCUGUCUUUAUGACAGAAACUAGGAAACUCUGGCAUUAUGGACUCUCUGAUUAAGAGUUAAACAAACUAUCUGCAACUUAUACUGUCUUUUUAUCAAAUUUGUGUCUAAUACCCCUAGAAAGGAUGACUCACUGAGCCCAGGGGCUCUCACUGAUGGAAAUGGAGCUGAGAGCCUGUUGGGAGGGGCAACUCUGUCUAGUGCACAUUGCUCCAGGAAGAACCUGAAUUCUGAUGCACAUGGACUCAAUAGCUGAUAAACAGCUCCUUGUGAACAAUCUGGAACCAAUGCCUUUCCCUGGGAUAACAGAGUCAAGAGGAGGUUACGGUCCUAAUGUGUUGAUAACAACCAGAGUGACAUCAGAAUGUGAGGUCUUCAGGACAGAGACCUUGCGAUGGUUUUGGCAAGGACAGAUGAAGGAUCCAGCAAAAUCCUUUCUGUUUAAGACUGCUUAGCACAUUGCCCAACAUAAAGAAGAAGCCAGAGUUUAAGGUACAGCUUGGAAGGCCCAUAGCUCCCAUCACCUCUCCAUCCUGGCAAAGUAUUGCUUUCCCAUUGCUCACUCUAUCCACACCAGUCACCUUGCCAACUCUCCAACUUGCCAGCACACUCCCUGUUCCCUUUGCCUGAAAUUCUCUUUCCUCUGAUUCCCAUAAAGCUUGCUCCCUCACCCCUUGCAUGCCUCCCUGACCACUUCUGAUUUAUUUCCUCCUUAGCACUUCUGGUAUCUGGCAUAGGAUGCAAACUCUGGCCACAAGCAAUAGGGCUUUGGUUUCCUAUGUUUACUGAGUUGCUACAGAGCCUAGAACAAGCCUGACACAUAGUACAGACACAAGAAAUAUUUCUUGAAAUAAAUUUCAAAAUGCAUGUAAAAUCGGUUACUUC
rnacentral:lncRNA from 1 species